rnacentral:rRNA from 1 species
GAUGAACGCUGGCGGCGUGCCUGAUUCAUGCAAGUCGAGCGAACAGACGAGGAGCUUGCUCCUCUGACGUUAGCGGCGGACGGGUGAGUAACACGUGGAUAACCUACCUAUAAGACUGGGAUAACUUCGGGAAACCGGAGCUAAUACCGGAUAAUAUAUUGAACCGCAUGGUUCAAUAGUGAAAGACGGUUUUGCUGUCACUUAUAGAUGGAUCCGCGCCGCAUUAGCUAGUUGGUAAGGUAACGGCUUACCAAGGCAACGAUGCGUAGCCGACCUGAGAGGGUGAUCGGCCACACUGGAACUGAGACACGGUCCAGACUCCUACGGGAGGCAGCAGUAGGGAAUCUUCCGCAAUGGGCGAAAGCCUGACGGAGCAACGCCGCGUGAGUGAUGAAGGUCUUCGGAUCGUAAAACUCUGUUAUUAGGGAAGAACAAAUGUGUAAGUAACUAUGCACGUCUUGACGGUACCUAAUCAGAAAGCCACGGCUAACUACGUG